GACGAACGCUGGCGGCGUGCCUAACACAUGCAAGUUGAGCAACGAACCAGGGCUUGCCCUGGGGCAAAGCAGCGAACGGGUGAGUAACACGUGUGUAACCUACCCCGAUAACCGGGACAACCCGAGGAAACUCGGGCUAAUACCGGAUGUGCGCACUGGACUUCGGUUCAGUGCGUAGAGGAAGCUUCGGCCUCCGUAUCGGGAGGGGCCCGCGUCCCAUUAGUUUGUUGGUGAGGUAACGGCUCACCAAGACCGCGAUGGGUGGCUGGUCUGAGAGGACGAUAAGCGACACUGGAACUGAGACACGGCCCAGACUCCUACGGGAGGCAGCAGUGGGGAAUCUUGCGCAAUGCGCGAAAGCGUGACGCAGCAACGCCGCGUGGGGGAAGAAGGCCUUCGGGUUGGAAACCCCUUUCAGGAGGGACGAAGGGUCGGCGGUGAAUAGCAGUCCGGACUGACGGUACCUCCACAAGAAGCCCCGGCUAACUACGUG
rnacentral:rRNA from 1 species